rnacentral:rRNA from 1 species
AGAGUUUGAUCUGGCUCAGAGUGAUCGCUGGCGGCGUGCUUAACACAUGCAAGUCGAGCGAAUUCUGGCAGCGUAUCGCCAGAGUUAGCGGCAGACGGGUGAGUAAUACUUGGGUAAUCUACCCUUGAGUGGGAAACAACCUGCCGAAAGGUGGGCUAAUGUCCCAUAAGACCACAGGAUGGCAUCAUCCAGGGGUCAAAGCUCCGCAAGGGGCGCUUGAGGAGGAACCCGAGUCCUAUCAUGGUAGUUGGUGAGGUAACGGCUCACCAAGCCUUUGACGGGUAGCCGGCCUGAAAGGGUGAUCGGCCACACUGGCACUGAGACACGGGCCAGACUCCUACGGGAGGCAGCAGUGGGGAAUUUUGGACAAUGGGGGCAACCCUGAUCCAGCGACGCCGCGUGGAGGACGAAGGUCUUCGGAUUGUAAACUCCUUUUGGAGGGGAUGAAUGCCCUGGUGAAAAGCCAGGGGUGACAGUACUCUCUGAAUAAGCCACGGCUAACUACGUGCCAGCAGCCGCGGUAAUACGUAGGUGGCAAGCGAUACUCGGAAUCACUAGGCGUAAAGCGCAGGUAGGCGGUUCGGUAAGUCUUUUGUGAAAGCUCCCGGCUCAACUGGGAGAGGUCAAAGGAAACUACCGGGCUAGAGUGUGGUAGGGGAUACUGGAAUUCCCGGUGUAGCGGUGAAAUGCGUAGAUAUCGGGAGGAAUACCUAUGGCGAAAGCAGGUAUCUGGGCCAUCACUGACGCUGAGCUGCGAAAGCUAGGGGAGCAAACAGGAUUAGAUACCCUGGUAGUCCUAGCCCUAAACGAUGCUCAUUAGAUGUGGGAGG